AAAAAAUUAGAAUAAUAUACCAAAAAUUGUGGUUAUUCUGGAAAGAAGAAUUAGAAUUAUAGAUGUCUUAGAAUUGUCUUCUCUUUCUUCAUUUUUAUGUAUUUCCUACCAAAAGUGUGUAUUACUGUGAAAUGAGAAAAAACAAAACAAAACAUGUUUUUGUUUGUUGAAGGACAAGCCAGAAGGAGGCUGCGGUGGAGGCGGAGCGGUGGGGAGGGUUCUGCCCUGGAAUUUGGCUGCAUCUGGUGAAGCUCAUUGUCUUCGAGGUGUUUUUUUUUUUUCAUGUGAAAAUACAGGAAGGCUGUUUUCAGUGGAUCUUUUGUCCUCAAUCCAAAAGGUGUUUUUCUCCUCUAAGAAAGCAAAGUGCAUGUUCUGCCUGGUCCCUAUUGUGGAGCUGGCCCAGCGUGGAUGGCUUAACUGGACUGACCUGCUGUGAGCAGCCGGCCGCACUGCAACUCCCACUCACUCAGCCAAGAGAGGCUAUGGGGACCCAAGCCCUGCUUUGAGAGAGACUGUCUGAGGUGGCUAUACAGAGCCCGGGGCCCUGCUGGUGGCAGUGACAUGGCUGAAAUGGGGUUGCCACUCAAUUAGGUCACAGGAUUCUGCCCCCAGGGGUCCUGACUCUGUCAGAAGAGUCCACUGGAGUGUGACGAGGGGUGCCUGUCAUCAGAACCCAGCCUGGGCAGGGCCUUCUGCCAAUGCCUCUCAUAAGCAGAGCAAACACUGGGCCACAGAGCUGGGACCUCAUGAAUGGGACAGGCAAGACAGCUAAAGAUUUCCUAGAUGAAAGACCUUGAUCCACUGCCUUUCAUGAUUCAGCACUGGAUUUUCUGUUCCAUGCAGCCUUCUAUUGGAAUAAUUUUGUGAAAUGAAGGCAACAAAGUAUUGUUUUCUUAAUCAAAGAGAACUUCAUAAAAAUUGUGCUCCUUGACUGCUAAUUUGUCCUGCAUUGUUACCGAUGCUUUUCUUAUGAUUUUUGUUUUGCACUGAACAGCCCCCUGGCUGAGAGAAAACCCCGAAGCAGUUAAGAUACCAGGAAAGGAAGACUUGAAAAUUGUGAGUCUUUCUCAGUAGAGGAGGCAGUGUGCUGUUAUAUGCUGAUGCAGCUCCUUGUCUUGGACUCAUAACUGACAGAACAGCAUGUGGACCUCACCGCUCCUUGGACUUCGAGUGGCGCUACUCUAACGCUGAGUCCUGACCUGGAUCCCUGUUUGCUUGCCUAGACCUAAGGCGGUGGUGCAGACCUUCCCCCACCCCACAUACCAUCGCCUUCUGGAAUGUGGCUUUGUGGAACUGAGGCUGAGACAAUCACAGUGCCCCAUUCUUCUGGUCAUGUGACAGGUCUGGACCUGGUCAUGUGGCAAAGUCGAAUCUAAGUCACAUCAAAGCAGGGAGAGUUAAAGCAAAUCUUUUCUCUCUUGUUGUGGAGCUGGAAUAUGAGCCCAGAAGCUUCCAGAACACAUGGUCCUGCCCUCAUAAAGAAGCUCAAGUGAGGGAACAAAAUCGACUUAGGUAGCAGCGAGCAUGGAUGGGGCCUGGCUACAUCAAGUUCUCAGAUCCUGUUGUCCCCACCCACCCCCUGUAACUUGCCAAUUUUAUCCAUCAAGCAUCCUCUCCUCUCUCCCAACUUGUCUGAGUUCUGUUUCUGUCAUUGUCACCAAGAGAGCUUUGAUGAGUAAGAAAUCCCAACAUUCCACGGGAGUCUUGGUGGUUUAAAUUUUUAAGUGAGUCCUCACUUGUUAAAGUCUUAUUCCUGUUAGAGGGCACUUCCAUAGUCCAGAAGGUGGGGAAUUCCUAUAGGUGACCUGUGGUCUCUCUAAGCAAUUUGACCAGGACUAUUUAAUAAAAUAUUUUAAAAAUGGUUCCUUUUAAUUAUUCAUUUUCAAAUGUAUAUUUGUUCUUGGCAAACAAGAGAUGAUUUGCGUUAAUCAGUGAUCUUUAAGCAAAUUCCUUGCAAUACUUUAUCUCCAUAUAAACUCGAAGCUUCUUAAAUGAAAUAGUACCUGUGUAUUUCAUAUGGCUUCCUCUUUUAUAAAUAAAAUGAAUGGACUUGGGACCAAAACAGAAUUUUUUUUUUCGGGAACUAUAGGACUGGAAUCUUUUUAUCCAAGGCAGUUGGAUCCCACAGUACAUUUUCACUGUAACAGACAAUGAGGUUGAGUCAAUAAAUAAAUAAAUAAAGUCACCAACAUGUCCAAAAGCCUCCAUUUAAAACUCAAAGCCAGUGGUUUUGGGUUUCACCUUUUCCUUUAAAAUUAAAUUCCCUGAAACCAUAUUUUAAAAAUGCUAUCUGAAUGGGAACCGCCAAACUGGGAAACUUUAAGUUUAAAAAUAGAACUGCAUCUGAAUUAUCUUAUAGAAAUUUGUCUUCUAACCAGCCAUCAGUAACUGUAAGCAUGCUUCAUAGAUCUACAUAUUUCAGCACUUUUUACAUUCUGAAAGAAUCUUGCUUAGAUACGAAGGUUAACUGGACACCUUUUUCUGCAUUCACCUUUAAUACUGGAUGCCCCCUUUAUCUGCACUCCCAAGCUGGGAAGCCCCAGAGUGGGCUCUUGGCCCCUUGCGGCCAACUGAAGUUCUCCAUCUCUGCAGCCUCCGUGAUCACCUUAAGAAUAGGCUCGCGACCUCCUUUGGGCCACACAGAGUCCUUCUCAGGGCUUGCGCUGGAGCUCUCAGGAGGGAUGCUCGCUUUCUCACUGAUCAGGAACUCUAAGGACCAAAGCCUGGAGUGAGGAUGUGAUCUGCUUGCAAGCGAAGGAGGCAGGAGGCAGCCGGACUCGAGGGCACACAUGACCUGGCAGGGCUGAACCUCAGGCUCCGGUGAGGCUGGCUCCUGACUGCCCCUCUGGACUUUCUCAGUUAUUUCAGGCCAUGGAUUAUCUUUAGUGCUUAAGCUAGUUUGAGUUGUGUUUCUGCCACUCAUAAUUCAGAGAAUCCUGGUGGCUUCAGUGUGAUCAGGAAGACAUUGGGAGCCAUUUUAGUUUUUACUUAACUUUUCCAAACUUGCUAGACAGGCUGAUUAUGGGUCUGUGCUAGUCUGGGAACCUGUGUUUGCUCUCUUAAGCCAUGGGUCUUAGACUCAUUUCCUGUUGCAAACAGGAUGCACUGCACAUUUUUACUGUGUUUUUGCUGCCCAUAAGUGGGAGGCAGAUUCGAAUGAUAGAAUUGGAAAGGUUCCAAAAGCACCAGCCAUGGUAGGGACCCUGAAGAUUGCAAGAUAAACAAAAGCAUUCAGAACUUGUGAUGGGAGUGUGAGAGGAUUGAGCGUUGAAGUCAGCCUAACAGAGGCUGUCGUUUACCCGGUGAAAUCCUCAAGUUACAAACAGCUGCUGUGCAAUUGGAAGUCACAGUCUUCAGUUAGGCUUGAUUUGUCAUUUGGUUUAUAAAUAAGCUUUCAUUUUGUCUUUUUUUUUUUUUUUUUUUGGUCUGGCAAUGUGGUAUCUCUUCCUUGCAGGAUUUGGGAAGCUGGGAAUAUGUGUGACCCACACUACCUGAGGGUGAUAGACUUUGACAGUGUCUCCAGCAUUUUCAUGUUGAAAUCUGCUUUAUCCUAAUUUCCAGUCUUGGUCUUGUCUGUCACAGGCUGGGGAGAAGAGCACCGUCCAGAGAAGGACCCAAUAAGGGACAUUUCCACCUUGCUUAGUGGGUUGAGGGCUGGGCUUUGGGUUUGAGAUGUGAAGAGAAAGAAGCUACGUGGAAGAGAAAGGAUGGAGGUACAAGGACGCCCUCCAGCCGGCUACACUUCUGAAACUAAAACAUACAAAACUCAGUGGCUUUUCCUCAACUCCUAUGAUGGAUGUGCAAGGACGCCCUCCAGCUGGCUGCAUUUCUGAUGCUAAAAAUACAAAACUCAGCAGCUUUGCCCAUACUCCUAUGAUGCCUG
rnacentral:lncRNA from 10 species